rnacentral:rRNA from 1 species
UUGACAUGUCCGGAAUCCUAGCAGAGAGUGCGGGAGUGCCGAAAGGGAAUCGGAACACAGGUGCUGCAUGGCUGUCGUCAGCUCGUGUCGUGAGAUGUUGGGUUAAGUCCCCGCAACCGAGCGCAACCCUUAUCAUUAGUUGCUACGCAAGGGCACUCUAAUGAGACUGCCGGUGACAAACCGGAGGAAGGUGGGGAUGACGUCAAGUCCUCAUGGCCCUUAUGGGUAGGGCUUCACACGUCAUACAAUGGUCGGUACAGAGGGUUGCCAAGCCGCGAGGUGGAGCCAAUCCCAGAAAGCCGAUCGUAGUCCGGAUUGUUCUCUGCAACUCGAGAGCAUGAAGUCGGAAUCGCUAGUAAUCGCGGAUCAGCAUGUCGCGGUGAAUACGUUCCCGGGUCUU